GACGAACGCUGGCGGCGUGCUUAACACAUGCAAGUCGAACGGAAAGGCCCUGCUUUUGUGGGGUGCUCGAGUGGCGAACGGGUGAGUAACACGUGAGUAACCUGCCCUUGACUUUGGGAUAACUUCAGGAAACUGGGGCUAAUACCGGAUAGGAGCUCCUGCUGCAUGGUGGGGGUUGGAAAGUUUCGGCGGUUGGGGAUGGACUCGCGGCUUAUCAGCUUGUUGGUGGGGUAGUGGCUUACCAAGGCUUUGACGGGUAGCCGGCCUGAGAGGGUGACCGGCCCCAUUGGGCGUGGGAAGGGGCCCAAACCGCGAGGGGGGGGAACGGGGGGAAAUUUAGGAAAAGGGGGGGAAGCCUGAAGAAGCAGCGCCGCGGGGGGGAAGCCGGCCUUGGGGUUGUAAACCGUUUUGGCAUUAGACGAAGGGGGAGGAGGGGUAAGGGGAAAAGAAGGACCGGCUAACACCGU
rnacentral:rRNA from 1 species